rnacentral:rRNA from 1 species
GCUAACUCGUGGCCAGCGUGGGCGGGAGUGCGAGGGGGGGGAGCGUGGUUCGGAAGUACAGGGCGUAAAGCGCGCGCAGGUGGCUUAGCAAGUCAGGGGUGAAAGCCCGGAGCUCAACUCCGGAAUUGCCUUUGAAACUGAUGAGCUCGAGUACGGGAGAGGUGAGUGGAAUUCCCAGUGUAGAGGUGAAAUUCGUAGAUAUUGGGAAGAACACCGGUGGCGAAGGCGGCUCACUGGCCCGUUACUGACACUCAUGCGCGACAGCGUGGGGAUCAAACAGGAUUAGAUACCCGAGUAGUC